GCGCGGCCAAGUGUGCAAAGAGCCGCCGGUCGCCGGCCUCGCAUGCUUUGCGCGCUGCGGAAUAUGCCGCGCGGGCAUCCGCGUGCGGCAAAAGCGCCUCGGUGAGGGCCUUGUUUGCAGCGCCCACGGCCACGGUGAGCCAUCCCGCCGCCACGCAUACUCGGGGACACGCCUGGGCCAUAAUGACAGCCAUACGCGAUACAUCGCUGUCUCGGCGACCCAGGGCGGCGACGGCCUCUUUGUUUUUCGGCGUCGGUGCAUUUGGGUUAUCGGCCUGGUGGAAUAGGUCGCCCAGCAAGCGCCGCCAGUCGAUUUCGAGGUCGCAUCGACAACGACAUUGUAUGUGCGGCCGUAUUUUUCUGAUGCCCAUGCUUUGCAGCGCCGACGCAUCGCCGUUGUUGAAUGCACAUUGGAUGGCGAUGCACGACACCGCAAACCCAUAGCGCGAUCGCCGCCAGCAAUCAAAAGCCGGACCGCGUUCACCGUGUCCGCGGCAUGGACACGCCGAUGCGAUUUCGGCACCAUCCAGCUGAGCGCCCAUCGACGCGAGCCAUUCGAGGACAUUGGUGCGGCGCGCCCUGAUGGCUUCUGAAACCGCAUCGUCUUCAUAUUCGGCGCCGCCGUGCUUUUGCCACAAGAGCGCGAGUGCAUCGAUCAUGCCCGUCGACACUGCCAUAUCCACAUCCAAGAUGUUGCAGACUUUCGGCGGCGUGGCCCGCUUGAACCCGACGCCAUAUUCGCGGAGCAGCGUCAUGGCCACAUCGGUGUGACCACCUCGCGCGGCGCUCGCCCAUACGCCGUCGUACAGUCUCCCGUCGUGCGUGCGACGGCGUGCGCCAAGGAGCGCGCGCGUCAGAUCGAGAUGACCGCCUUUCGCUGCGCACUGCGCCGCUCCCCACGUAUCUUGAAGGAGACCCGCGUUGAGCAGCCACAUGACGACGUCGGCGUGUCCGCGUGCGGCCGCUCCAUAGUAAUGGUCAGACGGUUUCGCGUGCAACCCGACAGAGGUGAGCGCGCCGUGCGCCCAACGCACGGCGGUGAUAUCGCCGUGCUCUGUGGCAGCAUACCAUGCGCGCUCUGCAGUAUAUUCGAGCGCGCGCGUGUACGGAAAAAUGCAUCGUUGGCUCUUGUCAAAAGGACGAGGCACGCACAGCGCCGACAGGAACCGUCCCCACAGCCAUUCGGCCUCGUCGACGAGACACCUCGCGAGAGCGUGAGCGAUGGCGCUCGCGUAACACGUGAACCCAUGACCGGGGUAGGGCGUGUCACAGUCGUGUCGACUGCGCGGCAUGGGCAUGCGCAAGCGGCGACUACAGGGACACGCUGAUUCAGGGUAGCGGUCUCGUGGGCAGUUCUCGCGCGUCCAAAAGACACGCGACGCCAUGCGGCACCGUGCGACAUCGCGUGGGUCGGUCAACUCGGACAAGAUGGCGUCGACCAUUUCAGCGGGCAAGUCACCGAGUCCCAUGCAUGCCCUGUAGCGGUGAUCGUGUUCCGACGGCGUAACCGAGCCGGCGCGCCACCGUCGGACACAUCGCGACGAACGGCGCCGGCGCGGCAUGGUCGACCGGCGGAGAAGCAAAAAAGACAGAAGGGAACCUCGUUGCAACAGCAAAAAAAAGUUGGCAAAGGGAGAGGACGCGGUCGACGCGCGGCCGGUAUAGCCACCAGUAAAAAAGGGGGGGGGGCGAGAA
rnacentral:lncRNA from 1 species